UGGGGAAUACCAGACCGAAAGGUCUGCUAAUACCGCAUGGGCCAAGGAGGGCUUAGAAGCUUCUUGGCAAAGCCGAAAGGCGCUUUGGGCGGGGCCUGCGACCCAUCAGCUAGUUGGUAAGGUAACGGCUUACCAAGGCGAUGACGGGUAGGGGACCUGAGAGGGUGAUCCCCCACAAUGGAACUGAAACACGGUCCAUACACCUACGGGUGGCAGCAGUAGGGAAUAUUGCUUAAUGGGCGCAAGCCUGAAGCAGCAACGCCGCGUGUGCGAUGAAGGCCUUCGGGUCGUAAAGCACUUUUGGACGGGACGAGGAAGGACGGUACCGUUCGAAUAAGCCUCGGCUAACUACGUGCCAGCAGCCGCGGUAAAACGUAGGAGGCGAGCGUUAUCCGGAUUUACUGGGUGUAAGGCGCGUGCAGGCGGUUCGGUAAGUUGGGUGUGAAAGCUCCUGGCUCAACUGGGAGAGGUCGCUCAAAACUGGCGAACUGGAGAGUGGUAGGGGAAGGUGGAAUUCCGGGUGUAGUGGUGAAAUGCGUAGAUAUCCGGAGGAACACCAGUGGCGAAAGCGGCCUUCUGGACCAUUUCUGACGCUCAGACGCGAAAGCUAGGGUAGCAAACGGGAUUAGAGACCCCGGUAGUCCUAGCCGUAAACGAUGUGAACUUGGCGCUGGCUGGGUCAAACCGAUCAGUGCCGCAGCAAACGCGAUAAGUUCACCACCUGGGGACUACGGCCGCAAGGUUAAAACUCAAAGGAAUUGACGGGGGCCCGCACAAGCAGCGGAGCGUGUGGUUUAAUUCGAUGCUACAC
rnacentral:rRNA from 1 species